rnacentral:rRNA from 1 species
GAUGAACGCUGGCGGCGUGCCUAAUACAUGCAAGUCGAGCGAACAGACGAGGAGCUUGCUCCUCUGACGUUAGCGGCGGACGGGUGAGUAACACGUGGAUAACCUACCUAUAAGACUGGGAUAACUUCGGGAAACCGGAGCUAAUACCGGAUAAUAUAUUGAACCGCAUGGUUCAAUAGUGAAAGACGGUUUUGCUGUCACUUAUAGAUGGAUCCGCGCCGCAUUAGCUAGUUGGUAAGGUAACGGCUUACCAAGGCAACGAUGCGUAGCCGACCCGAGAGGGUUAACGGUCACCGUAGGAUCAAGACCCCGUCCCGUCGCCCUCGGGAGGCAGCCAUCGGGAAACUUUCCCCAUGGGCGAAAGCCUGACCGAGGCACCCCCCGUGAGGGGUGAAGGGUCUCGGAGUGGAAAACGUCUUUAAUAGGGAAAGAAGAAGGGGUAAGAAACCUGGCACCUUCUGACCGUUCCCUAACAAGAAAGCACCGCCUAACUCCUC